GGGGGUAGAGCACUGGAUGGGCUAGGGCCGCCCACAGCGGUACCAAACCUAACCAAACUCCGAAUACGCACGAGUACUGCUCGGGAGACACACGGCGGGUGCUAACGUCCGUCGUGGAGAGGGAAACAACCCUGACCAACAGCUAAGGCCCCCAAUUCGUGGCUAAGUGGGAAAGGAUGUGGGAAUCCCAAAACAACCAGGAGGUUGGCUUAGAAGCAGCCAUCCUUUAAAGAAAGCGUAACAGCUCACUGGUCUAAACAAGGGUUCCUGCGGCGAAGAUGUAACGGGUCUUAAACUG
rnacentral:rRNA from 1 species